rnacentral:rRNA from 1 species
UACGGGGGGAGCAAGCGUUGUUCGGAUUUACUGGGCGUAAAGGGCGCGUAGGCGGCCUCUGCAAGUCGACUGUGAAAUCUCCGGGCUUAACCCGGAAAGGUCAGCCGAUACUGCAGGGCUAGAGUGCAGAAGGGGCAACUGGAAUUCUCGGUGUAGCGGUGAAAUUCGUAGAUAUCGAGAGGAACACCUGCGGCGAAGGCGGGUUGCUGGGCUGACACUGACGCUGAGGCGCGAAAGCUAGGGGAGCGAACGGG